rnacentral:rRNA from 1 species
UACGUAGGGUGCAAGCGUUGUCCGGAAUUAUUGGGCGUAAAGAGCUCGUAGGCGGUCUGUCGCGUCUGGUGUGAAAACUCAGAGCUUAACCCUGAGCUUGCAUCGGGUACGGGCAGACUAGAGUGCGGUAGGGGAGACUGGAAUUCCUGGUGUAGCGGUGAAAUGCGCAGAUAUCAGGAGGAACACCGGUGGCGAAGGCGGGUCUCUGGGCCAUAACUGACGCUGAGAAGCGAAAGCAUGGGGAGCGAACAGGA